GGCGGUCGGCGGCGCUCUAGCCGUGGAGGCCUGCUCCUCAUGCUCCUCCUCUGGAUCUAAUUCUUGAUUCUUGCGUCGGUCUGAACUGUGCGAUUUACGUUUCGUCAGAGGUCUGUUCUUGGGAUUCUAGUGCUGUUGAUCUCGUCAAGGGCCUCAUCUGCUUUCUUUCAUCUUGUGAAGG